rnacentral:rRNA from 2 species
GCUACCUGCAGUCGAGCGGAUGACAGGAGCUUGCUCCUGAAUUCAGCGGCGGACGGGUGAGUAAUGCCUAGGAAUCUGCCUGGUAGUGGGGGACAACGUUUCGAAAGGAACGCUAAUACCGCAUACGUCCUACGGGAGAAAGCAGGGGACCUUCGGGCCUUGCGCUAUCAGAUGAGCCUAGGUCGGAUUAGCUAGUUGGUGAGGUAAUGGCUCACCAAGGCGACGAUCCGUAACUGGUCUGAGAGGAUGAUCAGUCACACUGGAACUGAGACACGGUCCAGACUCCUACGGGAGGCAGCAGUGGGGAAUAUUGGACAAUGGGCGAAAGCCUGAUCCAGCCAUGCCGCGUGUGUGAAGAAGGUCUUCGGAUUGUAAAGCACUUUAAGUUGGGAGGAAGGGCAGUAAAUUAAUACUUUGCUGUUUUGACGUUACCGACAGAAUAAGCACCGGCUAACUCUGUGCCAGCAGCCGCGGUAAUACAGAGGGUGCAAGCGUUAAUCGGAAUUACUGGGCGUAAAGCGCGCGUAGGUGGUUCGUUAAGUUGGAUGUGAAAUCCCCGGGCUCAACCUGGGAACUGCAUUCAAAACUGUCGAGCUAGAGUAUGGUAGAGGGUGGGUGGAAUUUCCUGUGUAGCGGUNAA